GGAGAAGUACCCAAGUAGGUUGAAGGGGACGGUUUGCUAAACCGUUAGACGUCGCAAGGCGUGCACGAGUUCGAAUCUCGUCUUCUCCGCCA
rnacentral:tRNA from 1 species